GCUUAGAGUUUGAUCCUGGCUCAGGAUGAACGCUGGCGGCGUGGAUAAGGCAUGCAAGUCGAACGAUCCAUGUACUUGUAUAUGGGUAGUGGCAAACGGGGUAGUAAUGAGUAGGAACGUACCCACAAGUCGUGAAUAACUGCGAGAAAUCGUAGCUAAUACACGAUAUCCCUACGGGGGAAAGAUAUAUCGCUUGUGGAACGGCCUACUUCGUAUCAGCUAGACGGUGAGGUAAAGGCUCACCGUGGCUACGACGCGUAGGGGAGGUGAGAGCCUGACCCCCACCAUUGGAACUGCGACACGGUCCAAACUCCUACGGGAGGCUGCAGUCGAGAAUCUUCCGCAAUGCACGAAAGUGUGACGGAGCGACGCCGCGUGAUGGAUGAAGUAUUUCGGUAUGUAAACAUCUUUUAUAAGUGAGGAAGUAUAUUGACGCUAGCUUAUGAAUAAGGGGCUCCUAAUCUCGUGCCAGCAGGAGCGGUAAUACGAGAGCCCCGAGCGUUAUCCGGAAUUAUUGGGCGUAAAGGGUCAGUAGGUGGCCAUAUUAGUCUCUUGUCAAAGACCCAUGCUCAACAUGGGGAAGGCAAGGGAAACGGUAUGGCUAGAGUCUGUGAGGGGUGUGCGGAACUCAAGGUGUAGGGGUGAAAUCCGUUGAUAUCUUGGGGAACACCAAAAGCGAAGGCAGCACACUGGCGCACGACUGACACUGAAUGACGAAACCCUGGGUAGCGAAUGGGAUUAGAUACCCCAGUAGUCCAGGGCCUAAACGAUCUUGAUUAGCUUUUGGGAGUAUCGACCCUCUCAGAGGCGUAGCUAACGCGUUAAAUCAAGCGCCUGGGAAGUACGAGCGCAAGCUUAAAACUCAAAGGAAUAGACGGGGACUUGCACAAGCGGUGGAUCAUGUGGUUUAAUUCGACGCUAAACGAAGAACCUCACCAAGGCUAGACAUCCUAUUCAGGCGGCACACGGGAAACCGAUAGUCGAUAUUGUGGUAGGACAGGUGUUGCAUGGCCGUCGUCAGUUCGUGGUUUGAAUUGUUCCCUUAAGUGGGGUAACGAACGAAACCCUCGUCGUGUGUUUUAUAUGUCACGCGAGACUGCCCCCUCUCUGAACAAGAAAUUGUUCGUGUCCAGAGAGGGGGGAGGAAGGAGAGGAUGACGCCAGGUCAGCAUGACCCUUGAUGCCUUGGGCCACACACGUGAUACAAUGGGGAGGACAGCGGGCUGCGACGGAGUAAUCCUGAGCCAAUCCUUAAACCUCUCCUCAGUUCGGAUUGAGGGCUGCAACUCGCCCUCAUGAAGUCGGAAUCGCUAGUAAUCGCGGGUCAGCUAUACCGCGGUGAAUACGUUCUCAAGUCUUGUACUCACCGCCCGUCAAGUCAAGGGAGCCGGGGGUACCCGAAGUCUGUGCAUUGCAUGGCCUAAGGUAAACUUGGUGACAGGGACUAAGUCGUAACAAGGUAACCAAGCC
rnacentral:rRNA from 1 species